UCAGUACUUCCUCCAUCCGAAAAUAUUUGUCAUCAAAAUGGAUAGAAGAGGAUGUAUCUAGAUGUAUUUUAGUUUGAGAUACAUUUUUUUUAUUAAUUUUGAUGACAAGUAUUUUCGAACGGAGGGAGUACCUU
rfam:Triticum aestivum genome assembly, contig: Triticum_aestivum_CS42_TGACv1_scaffold_514370_6BS